UACGUAGGGUGCAAGCGUUGUCCGGAAUUAUUGGGCGUAAAGAGCUCGUAGGCGGUUUGUCGCGUCUGCUGUGAAAACUCGGGGCUUAACCCCGGGCCUGCAGUGGGUACGGGCAGACUAGAGUGCGGUAGGGGAGACUGGAAUUCCUGGUGUAGCGGUGAAAUGCGCAGAUAUCAGGAGGAACACCGGUGGCGAAGGCGGAGCUCUGGGCCGAUACUGACGCUGAGGAGCGAAAGCGUGGGGAGCGAACAGG
rnacentral:rRNA from 1 species